CUCUGGGCUGUUACUGACGCUGAGAAGCGAAAGCAUGGGGAGCGAACAGGAUUAGAUACCCUGGUAGUCCAUGCCGUAAACGUUGGGCACUAGGUGUGGGGGACAUUCCACGUUUUCCGCGCCGUAGCUAACGCAUUAAGUGCCCCGCCUGGGGAGUACGGCCGCAAGGCUAAAACUCAAAGGAAUUGACGGGGGCCCGCACAAGCGGCGGAGCAUGCGGAUUAAUUCGAUGCAACGCGAAGAACCUUACCAAGGCUUGACAUGGACCGGACCGCUGCAGAGAUGUAGCUUCCCUUCGGGGCUGGUUCACAGGUGGUGCAUGGUUGUCGUCAGCUCGUGUCGUGAGAUGUUGGGUUAAGUCCCGCAACGAGCGCAACCCUUGUCCUAUGUUGCCAGCACGUAAAGGUGGGGACUCAUGGGAGACUGCCGGGGUCAACUCGGAGGAAGGUGGGGAUGACGUCAAAUCAUCAUGCCCCUUAUGUCUUGGGCUUCACGCAUGCUACAAUGGCCGGUACAGUGGGUUGCGAUACUGUGAGGUGGAGCUAAUCCCUAAAAGCCGGUCUCAGUUCGGAUCGAAGUCUGCAACUCGACUUCGUGAAGUUGGAGUCGCUAGUAAUCGCAGAUCAGCAACGCUGCGGUGAAUACGUUCCCGGGCCUUGUACACACCGCCCGUCAAGCCAUGGAA
rnacentral:rRNA from 1 species